rnacentral:rRNA from 1 species
AGCAGCCGCGGUAAUUCCAGCUCCAAUAGCGUAUAUUAAAGUUGUUGCAGUUAAAAAGCUCGUAGUUGAAUUUCGGGGUCAGUAGGUCGGUCGUGCCACUGGUAUGAACUGGUUUUACUGAUUCCUCCCUCUUGAAGAACUGUAAUGCCAUUAAUUUGGUGUUGCAGGGAAUCAGGACUGUUACUUUGAAAAAAUUAGAGUGUUUAAAGCAGGCUUUAGCUUGAAUACAUUAGCAUGGAAUAAUGAAAUAGGACGUUUGAUCCUAUUUUGUUGGUUUCUAGGAUUGACGUAAUGAUUAAUAGGGAUAGUUGGGGGCAUUAGUAUUCAAUUGUCAGAGGUGAAAUUCUUGGAUUUAUUGAAGACUAACUACUGCGAAAGCAUUUGCCAAGGAUGUUUUCAUUAAUCAAGAACGAAAGUUAGGGGAUCGAAGACGAUCAGAUACCGUCGUAGUCUUAACCACAAAACUAUGCCGACUAGGGAUCGGAUGAUGUUAAUUUUUUAAUGACUCAUUCGGCGUCCG